rnacentral:rRNA from 1 species
CAGCAGCCGCGGGAAUACGAAGGUCCCGAGCGUUGUUCGGAAUCACUGGGCGUAAAGGGAGCGUAGGCGGCGUGGUAAGUCAGAUGUGAAAUCCCGGGGCUCAACCCCGGAACUGCAUCCGAUACUGCCAUGCUUGAGGGUUGGAGAGGUAGCUGGAAUUCUUGGUGUAGCAGUGAAAUGCGUGGAUAUCAAGAGGAACACUCGUGGCGAAGGCGAGCUACUGGACAACAUCUGACGCUGAGGCUCGAAGGCCAGGGUAGCGAAAGGGAUUAGAUACCCCGGUAGUCCCUGUCUCUUAUAC